UGAGGAAUAUUGCGCAAUGGGGGAAACCCUGACGCAGCCAUGCCGCGUGAGUGAAGAAGGCCUUAGGGUUGUAAAGCUCUUUCAAUAGUGAAGAUUAUGACGGUAGCUAUAGAAGAAGCCCCGGCUAAAUUCGUGCCAGCAGCCGCGGUAAUACGAAUGGGGCAAGCGUUGUUCGGAAUAACUGGGCUUAAAGCGUGCGCAGGCGGAUAUGAAAGUCAGAAGUGAAAUCCCGAGGCUCAACCUCGGAACUGCUUUUGAAACUCCAUAUCUAGAAUCCGGUAGAGGUUAGGAGAAUUCCUAGUGUAGAGGUGAAAUUCGCAGAUAUUAGGAGGAAUACCAGUGGCGUAGGC
rnacentral:rRNA from 1 species